rnacentral:rRNA from 1 species
UACGUAGGGAGCAAGCGUUAUCCGGAAUUAUUGGGUGUAAAGGGAGCGUAGGUGGAUUGUUAAGUCAGUUGUGAAAGUUUGCGGCUCAACCGUAAAAUUGCAGUUGAAACUGGCAGUCUUGAGUACAGUAGAGGUGGGCGGAAUUCGUGGUGUAGCGGUGAAAUGCUUAGAUAUCACGAAGAACUCCGAUUGCGAAGGCAGCUCACUGGACUGCAACUGACACUGAGGCUCGAAAGUGUGGGUAUCAAACAGG